UCUUAUGGAUAAGUAAAGGAAGUGGUUUCUUGAGAUAGAAUCUACUCCUUGUGAAGUGGCUGUGGA
rnacentral:pre_miRNA from 1 species